UUGGAGGGCAAGUCUGGUGCCAGCAGCCGCGGUAAUUCCAGCUCCAAUAGCGUAUAUUAAAGUUGUUGCAGUUAAAAAGCUCGUAGUUGAACUUCGGGGUCUACCCAUUGGUCAGGCUUAAUUGUCUGCACUGGUGAGAUGGAUCUCUACCUUCUGAGGAACUUUCAUGCCAUUUAUUUGGUGUGAUGGGAAAUCAGGACUGUUACUUUGAAAAAAUUAGAGUGUUUAAAGCAGACUAUCGUCUGAAUACAUUAGCAUGGAAUAAUGAAAUAGGACGGACUGAUUCUAUUUCGUUGGUUUCUAGGAUCACCGUAAUGAUUAAUAGGGAUAGUUGGGGGCAUUAGUAUUCAAUUGUCAGAGGUGAAAUUCUUGGAUUUAUUGAAGACUAACUACCGCGAAAGCAUUUGCCAAGGAUGUUUUCAUUAAUCAAGAACGAAAGUUAGGGGAUCGAAGACGAUCAGAUACCGUCGUAGUCUUAACCAUAAACUAUGCCGACUAGGGAUCGGAUGAUGUUAAUUUUUUAAUGACUCAUUCGGCGCCUUACGGGAAACCAAAGUGUUUGGGUUC
rnacentral:rRNA from 1 species